rnacentral:hammerhead_ribozyme from 1 species
AUCCAGCUGACAAGUCCCAAACAGGACGAAACACUCAUCCUGGAU